rnacentral:rRNA from 1 species
AGCGAAUAGAUACCCUGGUAGUCCACGCCCUAAACGAUGUCAACUGGGUGUUGGGGAAGCGAUUCCUUGGUACCGUAGCUAAACGCGUGAAGUUGACCGCCUGGGGAGUACGGCCGCAAGGUUAAAACUCAAAGGAAUUGACGGGGACCCGCACAAGCGGUGGAUGAUGUGGAUUAAUUCGAUGCAACGCGAACAACCUUACCUACCCUUGACAUGUUCCGGAGCCUGGUGAGAGCUGGGUGUGCCCGAAAGGGAACGGAAACACAGGUGCUGCAUGGCUGUCGUCAGCUCGUGUCGUGAGAUGUUGGGUUAAGUCCCGCAACGAGCGCAACCCUUGUCCCUAGUUGCUACGCAAGGGCACUCUAGGGAGACUGCCGGUGACAAACCGGAGGAAGGUGGGGAUGACGUCAAGUCCCCAUGGCCCUUAUGGGUAGGGCUUCACACGUCAUACAAUGGACGGUACAGAGGUAGCCAACCCGCGAGGGGAGGCCAAUCCCAGAAAGCCGUUCGUAGUCCGGAUUGCAGUCUGCAACUCGACUGCAUGAAGUCGGAA